rnacentral:rRNA from 1 species
GACGAACCUUGCUAACGUUAUUCGGAAUCACUGGGCUUAAAGGGUGCGUAGGCGGUGCAGAAAGUCGGGUGUGAAAUCCCUCAGCUCAACUGAGGAACUGCGCCCGAAACUACUGUGCUUGAGGAAGAUAGAGGUACGCGGAACUUAGGGUGGAGCGGUGAAAUGCGUUGAUAUCCUAAGGAACACCAGUGGCGAAGGCGGCUCACUGGCCCGGUACUGACGCUGAGGUGCGAAAGCGUGGGGAGCAAACAGG